rnacentral:rRNA from 1 species
GACGAACCGUGCGAACGUUGUUCGGAAUUACUGGGCGUAAAGCGCGUGUAGGCGGGUCGUUAAGUCGGGGGUGAAAGCCCAGAGCUCAACUCUGGAACUGCCUUCGAUACUGGCGACCUGGACCCAAGUAGGAGGCAAGUGGAAUUGCGAGUGUAGAGGUGAAAUUCGUAGAUAUUCGCAGGAACACCAGUGGCGAAGGCGACUUGCUGGACUUGUGGUGACGCUGAGA